rnacentral:lncRNA from 1 species
UAGGGUUUCAUUCAUUUCAAAUUUCAAUCAAUUAUUUGCACUAGAGAUUGAUUGUUUGGAGAAAAAGGUAUGAGUUUUUUGUGUUAUUAAUGUUAACAUUUUAUAUUAUUGAUAUAUAUUUAAUAUUAAUUCAUAUUUUUUUCGUUCAAAGCCUUCAAAAGCGAAGUACCAACAUCUAAGUUAGCCGAAGACUUUCUACAUGGCGAUGAUGAACCUCAAACCGAAUCUUCUUCGGUCUCCACUAUUGCUGUUGCAUGAAGGCUGUCACUUAGUCUAGUUAUGUUUUGAUUUGUUAAGCUCACUUGGAUUAUGUUGUAGUUAUGUUAGGAAUUGACGACUCUUGGUUGAUGCAUUGUUAUUUUCAUUUGAGCUUAUUAUAUUUUGUUAAGCUUAUUGGUUUAAUGCUUUAUAUUGAUUGGAUUUUUAGUUUGGCAUAUGUUGAAUUGUUGAUUUAUUGGAUAUGUUGAUUGUUGAGCAUAUGUGAUGAAUUUUGUAUUUUUUUUAUAUUAUUAUUCAUGUGAAUGAAUCAAAUCAAAUUUGUGUUGUUAUCAGGUCGUAAUCAGAUCGUGUCGCUAUCGUGUUGUGUCAACCCGAUUCAAAUCGAGUUGUUAUCAGGUCGUAAU